ACACACACACACACACAGCCAAUAGCACCUAGUUUAGUUGAAGAGCUGGAGCAAGAACAUAGCUGGGCAAGGCAAGGCAAUAUUCAUAUUGUGAAAGAAAGCCCCAAGAUGAGCUGGCCACAAGAUAAAACGUUAGAUUUAUUUGUUAUGUAUCCCUCUCCUCUGGUGAGUGGCAUCUACUUGCAGACACAGCCCACUCUUGAGAAAGAAAAGCCAUCAGGUAAGUUGACCUGGUAGAAAAAGGAUCACUGGAGGAUGAGUAGCCAUGAGGGGUCAUCCACUUCCAACAGCUCACCUUCUCUUGUCCCUGUGAAAAAUCAACCCGGCUACUGAGGCACUAGAGAGGGUGAGCAGGCCCGUGUUCCUCCAGCCUGACCAGUGUCCUCUGCAGUGCCUGUGGAAAUGCUGAGGGAAGCAUAAAUGUCUCUCUCAAAGAGGAGCCUCAGCGAGAUGACUCCAACAGCAGCUCUCUCCACCAUGGACACCUCCUUCCAAGGAAGAUAUCCAGGCCCUCAAGCAGCGGCGGCUGGUGUCUACCCACUCCAGCCUAGUUGACUAACAUUCAACAUUCUACAUCCUAGCCUGGUGUUCAUGCAUACAAGAAGCUUCAUCAGUGGACAUACAGGCGGCCUUUGUAAGGUAGUCAUCUAGUUCUAGAACAUAGAAUGUGGAGAAGAAAAUCCAAUCACUCUUCUCCCCCAAGAGAAAGAACUCCGGCACCUACCUCAGGGGACUACUAUGAACUUGACUGAAAUAACGAUCAUGCCGAGUGUGAGCCCUUGGGAGGAACCAGAGGAGCCACUCUGAAAGGUCACACAACAGUAAGGACUGGUUUUCAUGACAAAGGAAAGAAUACUUUGGAAACAAAAGAGACCACUGGGGACUCAGGAAGGAUGGGAGAGCUUCCUUUUUCAUGUGUGUCAACUAAAAACAUCUUCCCCAAAUGAAACAGUAACAAACGCAGACCACUCACACAGUCGGUGCUAGUUUCAAUGUCCUCUACAAGAUUCAGGACUGUGGAUUAUCUAAAGACGCGUUUGCAUGGCUGGUUAGUUUCAAUGGGAACCAAAAGUACAUUCAGAAUGUAACAUUAGAGGAAAGUCUACAGUUCCCCUGCUGCUUGAGAAAAUCUGGGAAAAGUGCUGAUUCGAUGUCAGGAUGUAUGAGCCAGACAGCACAGAACUGGGCAGAACCCAGUGUGAUGGAGCAGACAGAUACGCCAAAACCAGAACUUGCCAGCCCUUGUGUGUGUAUGUAAUUUUUGAGAUACUGCAUGUGAGUUUUCCAUAAGAUUAUAAAUAAGCAUUUUACAUGUGUUUAUUUAUUAUGAUGUAGAUGCAUGUAUGACGUGUGCUUGUGGAGAGCAAAGGAUAAUUUUCAGGAAUGGCUUCUGUCCUUCAUACCAUGUAUAUUCCAGGGAUGGAACUCACUCAGGCUCACUCAAGGUGGUCAGGCCCAAUUUUAUGAAAUUUUUGUUUGUUUUUAAGACAAGCUUUCACUAUGCAGACCUACUUGGCCUGAAACUUGCUAUGUAAUAGACUGGCUGGCUUCAAACUCACUGGGAUUAUUAAAAGCAUGUACCAUCCCACUCUGUUCAAUAUUAAGUA